ACGGAUUCAAGGGGCUUGCUCCUUGAGUUAGUGGCGAACGGGUGAGUAAAGCAUCGGAACGUACCCAGUAGUGGGGGAUAACGUAGCGAAAGUUACGCUAAUACCGCAUACGACCUGAGGGUGAAAGCAGGGGAUCGCAAGACCUUGCGCUAUUGGAGCGGCCGAUGUCGGAUUAGCUAGUUGGUAGGGUAAAAGCCUACCAAGGCGACGAUCCGUAGCUGGUCUGAGAGGACGACCAGCCACACUGGGACUGAGACACGGCCCAGACUCCUACGGGAGGCAGCAGUGGGGAAUUUUGGACAAUGGGCGAAAGCCUGAUCCAGCCAUGCCGCGUGAGUGAAGAAGGCCUUCGGGUUGUAAAGCUCUUUCAGACGGAAAGAAAUUGCUCUGGAUAAUACCUGGAGUAGAUGACGGUACCGUAAGAAGAAGCACCGGCUAACUACGUGCCAGCAGCCGCGGUAAU
rnacentral:rRNA from 1 species